GUGCUCACUUUAGCAGCACAUAUACUAAAAUUGGAAUGAUACAGAGAAGAUUAACAUGGCCCCUGUGCAAGCAUGGCAGGCAAAUUUGUGAGGCAUUCCAUAUUUUU
ensembl:snRNA U6 U6 spliceosomal RNA